UCAGGAUCUUGAAUACUCUUCAGCACUCUCACCACUGCUCCGGGACAUCAUUAUAAAAUGCGAUUCUCGUGUAUCAAAGGAAAGAACUUUGCGAGGAACACUUGUGUUGCGAUAUAUCACGAAAACACACAGAGGUAGCCAGAAAAUAGAAGUAAUACACUCGGUCGGUAACUUCUAAACACCAUGGAGCACCACUUAAACACGUUAUUCUUGAAAAUCUUAGAACACAGGUUAAAAUAUGCGUGAACGGCGACAAGACUUGUUUGGGAACUGCAAGAAGAAACAUGAACGAGAGAACAUGUAUAAUUGUGCCCGAAGGGCCGAAGAACAAGUGAAACAAAUAAAACUACUACGGCACGAAUAAAAUGAAUCGAUGAGAACGACCAACGAAUGAACGAACGACCGAUUAGAACGCACUUCAAAUGUUGCAGAUGAACAUUACAAACGACGUACACGGACAGCACAUAUUACGGAAUCGUUUCCAGCUACGAUGCUAUCAGAAUGCAUGGAUUUCACUAUUGUACACUUCGUAAUACCACUAUAUAACUGUUUAGGCUUAAAUACAGGUGCAGAUGUAUUCGUUCUCUCUCUUUUUCUAUUAUCUCCCCGUUUAUCUUAUACCAAGAAUAAACAGAAUAAAUAUGAAAAGGAAGAGGUGGUAGAAAAAAGUAGACAGGGGAGAGGAAAAAAGGAUAGAAUGUGGUUUAUAAUAUAAAUCAACACUAUAAAAUUAAUAGUAUAUGUAAGAGACUAAUUAAAUGUAUCAUACAAAGGAGUAUCACUUUAAAAUAU